AGCAGCCGCGGUAAUUCCAGCUCCAAUAGCGUAUAUUAAAGUUGUUGCAGUUAAAAAGCUCGUAGUUGAAUUUCGGGACCAAUUUGUUGGUCGUGCCUCGGUACGUACUGGUAUUAUUGGUUUCUCCCUUCUGAAGAACCUCGAUGUCAUUAAUUUGGUGUCGUGGGGAAUCAGGACUGUUACUUUGAAAAAAUUAGAGUGUUUAAAGCAGGCAUACGCUUGAAUACAUUAGCAUGGAAUAAUGAAAUAGGACGUUUGAUUCUAUUUUGUUGGUUUCUAGGAUCGACGUAAUGAUUAAUAGGGAUAGUUGGGGGCAUUAGUAUUCAAUUGUCAGAGGUGAAAUUCUUGGAUUUAUUGAAGACUAACUACUGCGAAAGCAUUUGCCAAGGAUGUUUUCAUUAAUCAAGAACGAAAGUUAGGGGAUCGAAGACGAUCAGAUACCGUCGUAGUCUUAACCAUAAACUAUGCCGACUAGGGAUCGGAUGAUGUUAAUUUUUAAUGUACUCAU
rnacentral:rRNA from 1 species